ACAAAGGAAUGUCAAUUAUAUACGUCUGUCUUGUUUUUUUGGCCCCUGGGCUGUGGUCUGUGCAUGUAGUCCGUUCCAGAUUAUACGUUUUAUACGUCAGCUGUGGGCUAAGAGAUACGUGAGCUUAGAAUUGGCAAGGUGACCAGAUUCAGAGAUCAGGAGACAGAUUAUUAGCUUCAAAUAGCCUGCGUAGUCUCUGACUAACAAACACAUCAUGGCAGCUUUCUGUCAGGUGGCUUGAAGCGUGAGCGCAGAACCUGACCUCCCCUGUAAAAGUCUGUGUAUGGGUGCGUGGUUGUUUGAACAGACGAAUGGCAUGUUAAUUAUUAGCCAGGUCAUUUGUUGACAACAUUUCAGAAAGUAUUAAUCGAAAGUCUCUCAAGAGGUGACUUGGACUCUUGGACUUUUUUUCAGAGGAACCUAAAGGUACAAACACAUGUUUACAUUUUGUGUUUCUCAACUAAACACAUUGUGUACACCAGAUACUUUCCUAACAAAACAGGGACACAAACAUGGCUGCAUAGGGCCUCUAGUAUUUAAAAACUCCAAAGAGUACCUUUUUAAGCUUUUACGUCUAACAAUAUAAACCACAAGAGUCUGUAAUUCCUUAACCUUCCUCCUAAAGAUAAGUUUCUUCUCAGCACAUUUCAUAUUCUCUUUUAAGGCAAGCAUGGCCACAGAAAGAGAGAAGUAACCUCUUAAAGCAUGCACAGAGGGGAAAGGAGUAAAAAGGGUGGUGCUGCCUCUGAUUGAAUUGUGUUUUUCUCUGAACAGCGUGUCUCUAGCAGAGUGUAGAGCUUAAACUGUUCCGACUAAAAACAUGCUGAGAACAGGAGAGAACAAAAUGCCUUGGAUGUCACACUCUGCCCCAUACCAGCCCGAAGAAAAUCUGUUUAGCACAAAC